ACUGUACAGGCCACCAACCUCCCCAGACAAAGACAGCCUGGAAGGUGAUGUCUUGAACAGAGCAAAAGCCACAUGGAUGCUAUCAACCUCUGUCAUCAACCACAGUGUCCUCAGAUCACAUCUUUGAAUGAGAGGGUACAGCCUGACCAUCAGUAAAGAUUGUGGUCAUGAGAAGGGGUGAUUGUCUGUCAACCAAGCUUUGCUAUCACUGGAAGCAGAGUGUGUAAAGGCUCAGCACAAAUUACAUCACUUCACCUUCAUAAGGAAGAAGGAUAAGACAGUUCUUUUCAUAAGUGACCAGGACUUUGAACCACCCAGCCCAGACAGACCCUGACCAGCAGGAACAGUCAUUUUUUUUCCAAUGAGUUCUUCAUCUC